AUUGAACGCUGGCGGCAUGCCUAACACAUGCAAGUCGAACGAGUGGCGGACGGGUGAGUAAUUUCUGGGCAACUACCUAAUCUAGGGGGAUAACUACUGGAAACGUUAGCUAAUACUGCCUACCAUCAGUUGUGCCCAGAUGGGAUUAGCUUGUUGGUGGGGUAACGGCUCACCAAGGCGACGAUCCCUAGCUGGUCUGAGAGGAUGACCAGCCACAAUGGGACUGAGACACGGUCCAGACUCCUAGGGGAGGCAGCAGUGGGGAAUAUUGGGCAAUGGGAGAAAGUCUGAUGCAGCAAUGCCGCGUGUAUGAAGAAGGCGUUCGGAUUGUAAAGUACUGUCAGCGGGGAGGCGUUAGCCAAAGAGGAAGCACCGGCUAACUACGUGCCAGCAGCCGCGGUAAUAC
rnacentral:rRNA from 1 species